rnacentral:rRNA from 1 species
CCUUAGGGCAAGUCAAUAAAUUACUAUUUAAUUAAUUAACAAAGAUUAAUAAUUGGUUGUGAAAUAAAUUAAAAAAUUGUUAAUAUAAUUUCUAGAAAGGUUAAAAAGAACAGGGCUAGCAGCCUGCUAUGGGCCUAGUUAAUUAAAUCAGGUAGUAACGGAGACAUCCUUAAACUUAAAUAACAUGGCAGUAUUUUACCCCCUGCAGAGGAGCUUGAAUAUUAAUCAGAUAGUCCCCCCUAUAUCUUACCUGAUUUUAUUUUAUGUGUGGUUGUCUAGAUGAGUAUAAAGGUAUAAAUUUCAGUCAGAUGACAUGUAGAUAUACUCAGGGUAAUUUUAGCUACAAUUUUUCAACUGUGUAAUAAUAUAAGAGCAAUUAAAGGAUUUGCGAGUAAUAAACUGUUCUAACUUUUUAUGAAGAGGUUAUAAAAUGUGUACAUAUUGUCCGUCGCUCUCAGAGAU